UGGAUGUAUCAUAUAUAUUUAUGUAUGUAAGUAAGUGACCAAGUAUGUAAGUAAAGAAGGAAGGAAGGAUGCAAGUGGGUGCUGGACGGAUACAGUACAGUAAGUAGAAGUAAGUUAGUAAGUAAGAAAGGAAGAAAGUGGGUGGUGACAGAGUACAGUAAUAAGUGAGUAAAUUAGUAAAACUUUAUUGGUAUAGCACCUCGUUAGAGUGGAAUAACAAAGUGCUUCACAAGCAAUAAAUGAAAACAAUAUAAUCUUAAAAACAAACAGUAACAGGCACACGUGUCAACAGUAAGCACAGGUCUUAUGUACAAAGGGAGGGAGUUCCAGAGUUUGGGAGCAACGGUUUUGAAUGUUCAAUCAAAUUCAGUUUGACCUAGGGACAUCCAGCAAUCCUAGGUCAGAGGACCCAAGAGACAUACUUACUGGUGGUGUAAAGAU